CGCUCCUACAGACGGACACUAUUCUCUUCUUCCUCAUCCUACUCUACUAACUCUACCUCUCUUGCAGAACUAUCUCUCCUCUACAUCUUCUCCCUCUCUCACAGACACUAGUGUCUCUAUGGUAUAUGGCAGGCUACAGUUAUUACAGGCCACAACACAGUAGACCUACAGGAGUGGACACACGACAGCACACAGCCAGAGAGAAAGGAGCAGGAGCACAGUCUCAUGGACGAGGACUCCAGCAUGCAUGCUAAACAGUUGGAGAAGAAAGAGGCAGAGAUGAAAGCACUGGGCACUUUUUUCAAGGAGCAGUUGGAACAAGUGGAGAAGAGGAAUUUGGAUCGAUACAAGAAAACCAAGAAACAGUUCUACGACCAAGCCACAAAAUCCAAAGCUCUUGUAAAAGCGAGGAACACAGAGUCUGUGUGCAUCAACCUGCAGUCCCAGAUCCUCAACUGCUACAAGGAGAACCGGGAGCAGACAUUGCAAUGCUCUGACCUGGCCAAAACGUACAUGCAGUGCAUUGACGCAGCCAAGAAGAGAGAUAUGGAGUGCAGAUCCGGGGAAGCUUGGAUGAGUUGCAGAAAAAACAGACGUGAAGACUGAGGUUGGAGUUGGCUGAGUAGAACAGGGUAAACAAGUCCUGAGGGGAAUCCAAGGUGGUGGUGAACCUGCUGGUAAACCAUGGAUGAAGAGCAAUGGAGAACAGCAGUGGAAAAUACUAAAACUCAUGUCCAGGAAUAGUUUUACUGAAGCACAAAAAUUGGCAGUUCCAAAUGUAGCCCUCAUUCUUAUUUAGGGGCAGCGGGCUGCUUUGGUGUUAGCAUCAUGUCUUUUAUACAUUGUUUUAAGCAGACACUAUUGUACAUUUUUCAGGGUACAAUAGAUAUUUGAAAGAGGACUGACUAACUAAAGGUUUUAAGUUGUAUAUACAGUACCGGUCAAAAGUUUGGACACACCUACUCAUUCAAGGGAUUUUCUUUAUUUUGACUAUUUUCUACAUUGUAGGAUAAUAGUGAAGACAUCAAAACUACUGUAACGAUCUUCAUCUGAGGAACAGGAAAGAUCGGAUCAAAACGCAGCGUGGUAAGUGUCCAUGUUAAUUUAAUAUCACUGAACACGAAAUACAAAAUAACCAAGUGAAACAACGAAAAUUUAAACAGUCCUGAAAGGUGACACAACACAAAACGGGAAACAACUACCCACAAACACCAGGUGGGAACAGGCUACCUAAGUAUGGUUCUCAAUCAGAGACAAUGAAAGACAGCUCCCUCUGAUUGGGAACCAUACCAGGCCAAACGCAUAGAAGAAACCCAACUCCAACUCACGCCCCGACCACACAUAUGGAAUCAUGUAGUAACCAAAAUAGUGUUAAACAAAUCAGAAUAUAUUUGAAAUUUGAGAUUCUUCAAUGUAGCCACCCAUUUUCCUUGUUGACAGCAUUGCACACUCUUGGCAUUCUCUCAACCAGCUUCACCUAGAAUGCUUUUCCAACAGUCUUGAUGGAGUUCCCACAUAUGCUGAGCACUUGUUGGCUGCUUUUCCUUCACUCUGCGGUCCAAAUCAUCCCAAACCAUCUCAAUUGGGUUGAGGUCGGGUGAUUGUGGAGGCCAGGUCAUCCGAUGCAGCCCUCCAUCACUCUCCUUAUUGGUCAAAUUGUCCUUACACAGCCUGGAGGUGUGUUUGGUCAUUGUCCUGUUGAAAAACAAAUGAUGCGCACACCAGAUGGGAUGGUGUAUUGCUGCAGAAUGCUGUGGUAGCCAUGCUGGUUAUUAAGUGUACUCUGAAUUCUAAAUAAAUCACUGACAGUGUCACCUACAAAGCACCCCAACACCAUCACACCUCCUCCUCCAUGCUUCACGGUGCUUCCCAUGCUUCCCAGGAAUCCCAGUUCGACAAUAAAUGUUUGUUUUGUUCGAUAAAGUCCAUAAUUUAUGUCCAAAUACCUCCUUUUUGUUCGCGCAUUUAGUUCACAAAUCCAAAUUCACGAGGCGCAGGCACUUAGUCCAGACGAAAAGUCAAAAAAGUUAUAUUACAGUUCGUAGAAACAUGUCAAACGAUCUAUAGAAUCAAUCUUUAGGUUUUUAACAUAAAUCUUCAAUAAUGUUUCAACCGGACAAUUCCUUUGUCUUUAGAAAUGAAACAGAACGCAGCUCGCUCUCACGGCCGCGCACAUGACUUAGCUCAUGGCAUUCUGCCAGACCUCUUCGUCACACAGCUCUUAUUCGCUCCCCCUUCACAGUAUAAGCCUGAAACAAGGUUCUAAAGACUGUUGACAUCUAUUGGAAGCCUUUCGGAAGUGCAAUCGGACCAAAUUUACACUGUAUCUUGGAUAGGCAAAGACUUGAAAACCUACAAACCUCAGAUUUCCCAUAUUUUUGCCAUAUGAGUUCUGUUAUACUCAUUCAAACAGUUUUAGAAACUUCAGAGUGUUUUCUAUCCAAAUAUAUAUGCAUAUCUUAGCUUCUGGGCCUGAGAAGUAGGCAGUUUACUCUGGGCAUCUUAUUCAUCCAAGCUACUCAAUACUGCCCCCCAGCCAUAAGAAGCUAACACUUUUUUGGUUAUUACAUGAUUCCAUAUGUGUUUUUUUAUAGUGUUGAUGUCUUCACUAUUAUUCUACAAUGUAGAAAAUAGUAAAGAAUGAAGAAAACCCUUGAAUGAGUAGGUGUUUCCAAACAUUUGACUCGUACUGUAUAUAUACUUUUAAAAAUAUAUUAUCAGGCAAUCCUGACCAUUAAUUUAUCAGGCUUAUGUUAUAUUACUUCCUUGAUGUCAUUAAUUAAAUAAUAUCCAUAUGCUAA